rnacentral:rRNA from 1 species
CCCCGCAAGGGGUCAGUUCCUGGCAAACGGGUGAGUAACACGUGGGUGAUCUGCCUCAGAGUGGGGGAUAACUACCCCAAAGGGUCGCUAAUACCGCAUAACAUCCUGCCUUUGGAUAGGCGGAGAUCAAAGCCGGGGAUCGCAAGACCUGGCGCUUGGAGAGGAGCCCGCGGCCGAUUAGCUAGUUGGUAGGGUAACGGCCUACCAAGGCGACGAUCGGUAUCCGGCCUGAGAGGGCGGACGGACACACUGGGACUGAGACACGGCCCAGACUCCUACGGGAGGCAGCAGUGGGGAAUUGUUCGCAAUGGGCGCAAGCCUGACGACGCAACGCCGCGUGGAGGACGAAGAUCUUCGGGUCGUAAACUCCUUUCGAUCGGGAAGAACGUCUGCGGGGUGAAUAAUCCCGCAGAGUGACGGUACCGAGAGAAGAAGCCCCGGCUAACUCUGUGCCAGCAGCCGCGGUAAUACAGGGGGGGCAAGCGUUGUUCGGAAUUACUGGGCGUAAAGGGCUCGUAGGCGGCCAACUAAGUCACACGUGAAAUCCCCAGGCUUAACCUGGGAACUGCGUGUGAUACUGGAUGGCUUGAAUUCCGGAGAGGG